rnacentral:rRNA from 1 species
UUUACCUACGGGGGGCAGCAGUGGGGAAUAUUGCACAAUGGGGGAAACCCUGAUGCAGCGACGCCGCGUGAAGGAAGAAGUAUUUCGGUAUGUAAACUUCUAUCAGCAGGGAAGAAAAUGACGGUACCUGACUAAGAAGCCCCGGCUAACUACGUGCCAGCAGCCGCGGUAAUACGUAGGGGGCAAGCGUUAUCCGGAUUUACUGGGUGUAAAGGGAGCGUAGGCGGUUUAGCAAGUCUGAAGUGAAAGGCGGGGGCCAACCCCGGGACUGCUCUUGGAAAUGCAUGGCUGGAGUACAGGAGGGG